CGGAACAGGAACCCAGCCCCCGAAACUCUCGCCCUUAUAGUCGACAUCCACAUAUUUUCCUUCUCUCCCGAUCUCCCUCGAGCCGUCACAGAGGCUGAGCUAGGGGUAGCUCGCCGUGCGGCCGGGAGCAAAGCAGUGCGGCGGCGGAAGAGUGGAUCCGCCUCAGCCGACGCACCACCAGCACUGCAUCCCCGACCUGUGUGGCGAGGCGACACUGCCCCGAUGCCCGAGCAGACGUUCCGUGAGAGAUGGUGAAAGAUUGGGGCUGCGCUACUCCUAUGUUGUUUGGGCGUGCUAUUGCUAUGUUUUGGUCCAAAUUUUUGGUACUCAGUUUUGUGGAGGAGAUUAAGCUUUCUGUUGGCUGAAGUUUUGUACAGGGACAGGUCUAUGGCUCAUGAUGCGUUCUGAAGAUAGGAGCUGAGCGAACAGAUCAGACGGGUCAAGAGUAAGCCAAGUUUUAGGAUGCAAUAGUUGAUUUGGAACCUACCAGUGUGGCCUCCAGAUCUGUCAACUGACAAGAAGUAUAUAGUACCGAAUUAUUCAGACUUUUAUGUAUCCUACGGUCUCGCAACACAUACACAUGUGACGUUUUCUUAGGCAUGCUUGCUGAAAUAUCAUUCCAUCUAUUUUUGAGCUUAUUUUGCAUUUAGAUACACUACCCACUAUUUUAAUAUGUAAAAUCAGUUAGCAUACACCGUGCAGAACAAGAACACUGAGAUAUAUGUAUCUACUAGAUUUACUACUUUGGUUUGGUUGCAACUGAGACUAAAUUUGGAUCGCUAGCUAGAACAAACAACAUAUUUUAUGCAAUUUUUCUGCUGUUAUAGGAUAUGAGAAGGCCUAUACCAUUUAGUCCAGUUCAGAAUAGUCAGUAUGGUUGCAGCAUGGUGAAUUUCAUACCACUCUACAACUUGAUAAUUGCCAAUUAUCACUGAGUAUGUCCCAACCCUUCAAUUUUUGCUUGCCUCAUUUGUCACAUGUAACUGUCUGUAGAUGAACUAUCAAAUAUGAAAACUUGGAUCUUGAUGGCAUUGUUGGUGUUGCAAAAACUUAAAUGGUAAUCCUUUGUUUGCUCGGUUGAUAAAAUUUGUGGUAUCUUCAUGAGUGAGUUCUUGAAUUGGCAGCAGAUAAUAAUUACUAUAGGGUCAUAUAUCAAAUUAAAAUAUUAACUUUAGAAGUUCAACACAGUUUUGCAGAAAAAGGUGAAGUGAAUAGGCGGCAUGUCUUUCCACGAUUUCAUUUUAUUGUUGCUAGAACAUCACUGUAGUCUAUGCCGUUCUGAUAAGAUGAAGUUGCAUUGGCACUGAAAACAUCAAUUGACCUGUAAGAUGUCCAAAAUCAUGGGAGGGGUAUGACAUGUUUUGAAAUAUUGUUGGAUAUACGGAGAUUGGUCAGAGAAUCUCCAAAUUAAUGUAUGUUUCCUGGUUUAGAUUAUUUUACAAGAUCCUAACAUAGUCAUUUACCCUUUUGUUACCUAGAAUUGUUUUUAUUUCUUGCAGACACUAUGCUUGUAUUCUUCUGGGUUUUGGGCAAGGUGAAUGAGCUACAUUGUUGUAGUUAUCUCCUAUUUAGGUCCUUCUAUUCCCAUAGGAAAUCUGAAUACUUACCAUUUCCAAAAUACAAGGAUGAUUACGAGGUGACCAGAGGAAUCAACCGUAACCAGUGGUUCAAUUACAAUCAUUAUCGGUUUUUUACUUUCUCUCAAUAGCACAGUCUUGACAUGACAUCGUGAUACUGCACACUUGAUAUACCUACCAGGGUGCUAUUCAGACAUUCUGUAUGAGACAGAAGAUGGAUGAGGCCGCGGCAUGGGAUAGAUCGACGACGACCAAACUGAAAGCGGUGGUAGCGGAGGUGAUCCCCGGUGUUGUUUGGGUGAAGUGGUGGCCAUCGAGUCCCACAACGCACCCCCAGCCUUAAAUCGUAAUCUUUCUUCCCUCUUUUCAUCUGACUAUUGCAGUAUAAAUUAGAAAACUUAGAUUCCUUACUUGUUACUUGAUCAAGGAUUCAGGUUGCUUGUAGAUUUCCUGUUUAGUCAUGCUCGAAACUCAUGUCUGCUUUGCUUUGUUAGUGGUCAGUCGUGGAUUUCAUAACCACUUAUGUGUUCUGUACUUACUUUCUUCAGCCAUAAAAGUUGAAUCAGUUAUGUAUGAACUAGCUAAGUGCCCACGCGUUGUGGCAAUUCUCUCAUUUUUUCUUUUCCUCUUUAAGUUUCGCUUUCAACUACAUCUAUAAAAAAAUUAUGUAAUAAAAUAUUAAUCUGGCAUAUAUAUGGGUGUUAAAAGAAGGGCGUAUUUGUUUUCUCUUUCACUCCUCAUGGGCUUCGUCUCUGCCUCUAUGACUACUAUGUUAAGUAACUUCACAUGUUUCAAACUUUUGAUCCAGAUUGUGGCACUAUGCAUCGGCCUGGCACUAUGUUUAGUAACCAAACAAUCACUUAAGUAUUACGUAUUGCUCCCCUAUUUUAUUUUGGACCCUUACAGCGUGCAAACAUGCCAAUUUAAGACCCAAGCUACUUUUGAAAAUUGCCAGGGAAGGUUGCAUGUGCGCCCUGCAAGUUCCUUAAUUUUUUUCUGAUCCGCAUCACCGUCCGCGUCUAAGAACUGACAGCCAAGGGAGCGUCGCGGAGAAGAGCCACCUGGGCACGUUUGCCCGAUAUGUUUUAGGUUUAUUUUUAACUAAUUAGUCAUAUAGCUAUUUGGAAAAUGACACUACAACAAUAUGGGAAAUUCAUGGUAUCUCAAUUAAAUCUCACAAUCUCUCAAUAUUGGAUGCACUCGCAUCUUCAACAUGUCGGAUGCCAAGACACCCUGACCUCAAGAAUCUUUGGAUCGAUCGCCAAGUAGGCGAAUCGAUCGGAAUUCUGAUCUGGCAACUUGUCAACUAGAUUCAUGAUUUGUUACUUGAUCAAGGAUUCAUGUUGCUUGUAUAUUUCCUGUUUAGUCAUGUUGUUAUUUGAAUCUUUAAAUAUUGUAUAUGUCCACUAUUCAUAGAUCGUUGAUCUGUAAAGAAAGAAAUGGUUAUAUAGAGAGAUGAAGAUAAGCUCCAAACAACUCAUUUACCUGAGAUGGUGUUUGGAAAGAGUUUUGUGUCUCUUCAACACACUUGGUGCUCUCAGGGCAUGAAAACAAGAGGGAUUGUUGCAUGAUCAUGUUCGUGCUGCAGCGAAAUGGAAAUUUAGAAGGUUCUUUAUACAUGUACCUUGUUACUUAAGCAUGCGGGAACUUUUUCUAAUUAAAAGUAUCAUAUUUGAUUUGCGUUACCAUUAUAUGGAAGCAUAUAUAUUUCUGUUACAUGGUUAGGCUCUGGUCAGAAGUGCAAACAUAGUGACACAAUGGCCAAAGUUAAUCUCUAAUACGAGAAAAUCAGUCGUGCAUUUCUUAUUUUUUGACCUGGAUAUUUACGCUCUCAGCAAAAAAAAAAGGGUUUAUUAAUGGAAAGUUCUGUGGGAAGAACUGUCCUAAAAUGAUUAACUCAUAAUUCCAUUUGUUGUGGAUUUAUUAAUCAAAGAGGCAAGAGAAGGUUUAUGUCAUGUCUUUUCAUACCAUCUUUCCCUGUAUGCCCAUAUACUUUUCUUAAUGAUAGAUUCCACAUUCAGACCAUCAUUUUUAGUUGUGUAUUUUUUCCAGAUACACACGAGUUUAGAUGUAUGUAGAAGUUUGUGUUGGGAGGAUACUGAUGAAGAGAUUGACCUCCUUGGUCUUUCUGAAUAAGAAAAAAUUCUCAAAUUCUCUUCUACGAUGACAUACAUAAACUGAAAAAAUUCAUUGUUGCCCCAUACGUUGAUUUGCACUGACAUUACAUAUUCUGGUUGGUAGUUCAUUCCUUGUGUUGUUGGUGCAUCUACUACUGCUUCCUUAAUCUUGCAAGAGGGUGAUUCUGCUGAAUGAGAACGAGGAGUUGCAGAAGGACUUGGGAUAAGCAAGAUCUCUAAUUUUUUAUUGGUCUGGAAUUGUGGGGUGCAUUUUUUUGUAUUUAGUUGUAGUUCAUUCUGCAGUAAUGCGCAACGGUUAUUUGCAAAAGGUGAUGUGUAGAUACUUUUAAU